CUAAAAGGGCACUUCUGCCCCCCCCUAGCAAAAGGCAAGGGGGGCAGCCGCCCCCCCUGCCCCCCCAGUUCCGGCGUCCCUGAUCAUAGACAUAGUAAAAUUAGGAAGGCCCAAAUAUGGUGGGUAUUCAUGAUCGAAUGAAAGUGUCUGAGUUUUCGUGGGAAAGUGACAUAUUGUAUAUUUGUUCUUAUUAAUGCUAAGUGAGCGAAACCAC